rnacentral:rRNA from 1 species
UACGUAGGGGGCGAGCGUUGUCCGGAUUUAUUGGGCGUAAAGAGCGUGUAGGCGGCCAGGUAGGUCUGCUGUGAAAACUCGAGGCUCAACCCUCGAGACGUCGGCGGAAACCAUCUGGCUAGAGUCCGGAAGAGGAGAGUGGAAUUCCUGGUGGUAGCGGGUGAAAUGCGCAGAUAUCAGGAAGAACACCCGUGGCGAAGGCGGCGUCUCUGGGACGGUACUGACGCUGAGACGCGAAAGCGUGGGGAGCGAACAGG